UAAACCCUAAGUCCUAAACCCUAAAACCUAAAAACCUAAAACCUAAACCCCAAGACACCCAAACCCCAAACCUAAACCUAAACCAAAAAUCCAAAAACCGAAAACCCCAGAAUCGAAACCCCAAACCCUAAAUCCUAAACCCUAAACCCAGGCAGUUGAACUACUCUGCUACAUCUGAUCAGCCACGACGACUCACUGACUCCGGUUUGAUCUCCCACGACACUACAUUAAUGCACACGAUCGUGUUCAACUAUGACCAAAAAAGAAUCAUUUGCCCCGUCACUUCACAAAUAAUAUAAUACCCCUCUAUAAAAGAGGAACCCCUCCACCUCAAAGGGGAAGACUCUGAAACCCAGAAAAGGCAUCUCCUCUUUCCUCUUACAUAUUAGCCUCCUCUGACUUAAGCAUCGGAGGGCCGACGCCAGAAGUAACGGAAUAGUUCAACUACCUGCUGUGGAAGGCUUGAGAUCCGUAGAUAACAAGCGCAUUGAUUGUUGAGUGAACCGGAGGUCAGCAGAGGCCAUAUGCUUUAAUGGUUGAGUGAGCCGGAGAUCAACAGAGGCCAUGCGCAUUAAUUGCUGACGGCGAAGCAAGGUAUGGUCUCUGGCUGAACUACGGAAGCGCGUGACGUUAGUAGGUGAGUAGUGAGGUUAGGUUUCUGAAGGCUCCCGAAGGAGAUCAGACCGAGGUCGAAUGCUAUGACGAGACAUCUCGGAGUCCGGCAUCUGGUCGGGCGCCGAGCCGAGCUAGUUGCUUUCAGGUUGGGCGCCUCCGAUUCGGACGUCGUCUGGUCGGGCGCCCGCAGGUCGGGCGCCCUCGGAUCGGGUGCCUCCUGGUCAGGCGCCUCCUAUUCGGGCGUCGUCUGGUCGGGCGCCCGCAGGUCGGGCGCCCUCGAUUCGGGCGCCUCCUAGUCGGGCGCCCGCAAGUUGUUUUGGAAUAACUUAGUUUUUUUCCCUAACAGGACCCAUUAUCAUUCAACUUCAUGGGAGGCUUUGAGCUAGUUAUCUCUAUAACUAUUUUAUUCUAGUGACCUAAUAAUUUUAGGGGAUUUGAUUUAAUAAAAAGAAGAGAAGAGAAAAAUUGAUUAAUCUUGAUCCUCCCACUGACUUCAUCAAGUCAGAUUAAAAAAAAGAAACUAGAUUCAGCCUGAUUCUUGGGCACCUAAAUCAGUCACAUUGAUUUUUCUUACAGGCAUGGAUCAACUCGAAUCAUUAAGUGAUCUAAUUAAAAAUGAUUGACUAAGUCAGCCAGGUAAGUAAGAUCAGUGGAAGGAAUAUGCCAUUAACUCGACAAAGACGAAUCAGUACGAGUAGCUCCCAAUUAAAAACCACCGGUCAAGACUGCCAAACUUACCUUAGACACCAACUGGUUAAUCAAUUUUGAUUUUAAUUAUCCUAAUGACUCAGGCUCAACCACUAAGGNNNNNNNNNNNNNNNNNNNNUGGCCCUCCAAAAGCUCCCCCAAACAGGGCCUAAGCCUCAAUCAAGUUCCAUUUGGUCUAAUCAAAAAUAUAAACUUGAUCAAGUACAACUAUUGUAUUUGAUUGAGUAUCCUUGACCUAAUCUAAUUACUACUUAGUUAAAUUUGAUCAAUUACUCCAAUUAGUCCAUCUUUGAUUUUAACCCUAUGUCUAACCCAGUUCACUAAAACUUGAUUUGAGUUAACCCAAAAAUUCCCAAGAUUUAUGCAAUGUCAAUUAGAUUUCAAUUCACAAUUCUAAAUCACUUAAUUCUCAAUUAAGUGUAGAUUUAUAAAAAAUUUCAGAUCAUUACAUAAGUUUUGAAUCACAUGUUAAUUACAAAUUUUUAGUUCUUAAAACUUAUUUUCAAAUCUGAAUUUGUCAAUUAAACAUGCUAAUUUCAG
rnacentral:lncRNA from 1 species